AUACGUAGGGUGCAAGCGUUAAUCGGAUUUACUGGGCGUAAAGCGCGCGUAGGUGGCUAAUUAAGUCAAAUGUGAAAUCCCCGAGCUUAACUUGGGAAUUGCAUUCGAUACUGGUUAGCUAGAGUAUGGGAGAGGAUGGUAGAAUUCCAGGUGUAGCGGUGAAAUGCGUAGAGAUCUGGAGGAAUACCGAUGGCGAAGGCAGCCAUCUGGCCUAAUACUGACACUGAGGUGCGAAAGCAUGGGGAGCAAACAGGAUUAGAUACCCUGGUAGUCCAUGCCGUAAACGAUGUCUACUAGCCGUUGGGGCCCUUGAGGCUUUAGUGGCGCAGCUAACGCGAUAAGUAGACCGCCUGGGGAGUACGGUCGCAAGACUAAAACUCAAAUGAAUUGGCGGGG
rnacentral:rRNA from 1 species